rnacentral:rRNA from 1 species
UACGUAGGGGGCAAGCGUUGUCCGGAAUUAUUGGGCGUAAAGCGCGUGUAGGCGGUCCGGUAAGUCGGCUGUGAAAGUCCAGGGCUCAACCCUGGGAUGCCGGUCGAUACUGCCUGACUAGAGUUCGGAAGAGGCGAGUGGAAUUCCCGGUGUAGCGGUGAAAUGCGCAGAUAUCGGGAGGAACACCAAUGGCGAAGGCAGCUCGCUGGGACGUUACUGACGCUGAGACGCGAAAGCGUGGGGAGCGAACAGG